GAGCCAAGAAGAUGGAACCCAAAAGGGCUUGAAAAAGCACCAGAAGGAGGAACAACACAAAGCCCGGGCGCCCUGAAUGGAAGCUUGAGCGAGGAAAAUCGAUAUCCACCGCCUAGGCACCCUCCUUAGCCACUUGGGCGGCGGGGUCUUGAAGCCUGGGCGCCCUAUCUGGAGGCCCGAGCCUUACAUUAGGUGUUCUCACUGCCUGGGCGCCCUAAGUGGGGCGCCUGAGCAUCGACUUUUCGUGGAUCAGGCCCUAUUUCUGCUCUGUUUCGACUCUAUUGGACCGGGCCCUAUUUUUGCUCGUUUCUGAAACUAUUUAAAGGACCUUGGGGCUCUAGGUUUUGUAUCACUGGCAGAGAGCAACAUAAAAAUACACUCUUUUU
rnacentral:lncRNA from 1 species